rnacentral:rRNA from 1 species
GUGGGGAAUUUUGGACAAUGGGCGCAAGCCUGAUCCAGCAAUGCCGCGUGCAGGAAGAAGGCCUUCGGGUUGUAAACUGCUUUUGUACGGAACGAAACGGUCCUGGUUAAUACCUGGGGCUAAUGACGGUACCGUAAGAAUAAGCACCGGCUAACUACGUGCCAGCAGCCGCGGUAAUACGUAGGGUGCGAGCGUUAAUCGGAAUUACUGGGCGUAAAGCGUGCGCAGGCGGUGCUGUAAGACAGGCGUGAAAUCCCCGGGCUCAACCUGGGAAUUGCGCUUGUGACUGCAGUGCUGGAGUACGGCAGAGGGGGAUGGAAUUCCGCGUGUAGCAGUGAAAUGCGUAGAUAUGCGGAGGAACACCGAUGGCGAAGGCAAUCCCCUGGACCUGUACUGACGCUCAUGCACGAAAGCGUGGGGAGCAAACAGGAUUAGAAACCCCUGUAGUCC